CAGCCCGGGAUUUGUGUGUUGCUUGCUCUAUAUGUGUGUAUACUUGUGUGUGCAUGUAUAUGUGUGUAUAUGAAUAUACAUAUACAUACACACCCAUAUACACACGCAUGCAUGCACACAC
ensembl:miRNA Mir669d microRNA 669d